CUACGGGGGGCUCCAGUGGGGAAUAUUGCACAAUGGAGGAAACUCUGAUGCAGCAACGCCGCGUGGAGGAUGACACUUUUCGGAGCGUAAACUCCUUUUAUAUAGGAAGAAGAUGACGGUACUAUAUGAAUAAGCGUCGGCUAACUCCGUGCCAGCAGCCGCGGUAAUACGGAGGGCGCAAGCGUUACUCGGAAUCACUGGGCGUAAAGGGCGUGUAGGCGGAUUAAAAAGUCAGAAGUGAAAUCCUAUAGCUUAACUAUAGAACUGCUUCUGAAACUCUUAAUCUAGAAUAUGGGAGAGGUAGAUGGAAUUUCUGGUGUAGGGGUAAAAUCCGUAGAGAUCAGAAGGAAUACCGAUUGCGAAGGCGAUCUACUAGAACAUUAUUGACGCUGAGACGCGAAAGCGUGGGGAGCAAACAGGAUUAGAUACCCUAGUAGUC
rnacentral:rRNA from 1 species